rnacentral:lncRNA from 1 species
CGGGGGGAAAAUGCAUUUGGUUUGGUUCAGGGCAAAGCAAGGUAGAUGUAGAUUCUGUCACCUUAGCUAAGCUGGAACAACACGUCCCAGAAUUCCUUUUCCUGCAGAGUUCUGGGUUAGCAGAGGCCAAAAGAAAUCUUUUGUGUGAGGCCUGGAAGGCGGAAGUGAAGCAGCAGCGUGUUCUUUUUACGUUGGAAGGCAGUGGCUCAGGUGUGUCGUCACAGAUCUGCUGGCUCCCCUCGCAGGUGCGAGCCUGCUGGGUCUCCUCUUUUGUCUUCUCCAACUCUCGGGCCAGGUGUGAGCUUAGCUUUGUAAGUAAGGGAGCCAGCUUGUCCCGCUAGACAUACCCAACAUCAAGGUCGGGGCUGGGGGAGGUGAGAGCCCACAUGGAUUCUAGUCCAUCCUUUUCAGUUCCACUCCUCCUUGCAGGUUCCAAUUUGUCCUACUUCACAUCCUUCUUCCCUCUUCAGACCGUCUGCCCUAGGAGCUUCAGGCUGUAGCUCCAGGCACAGGAGAAACAGCAUCCUGCAGAGUACUAAACCAGCUGCCACAUCCGUGCAGGGUCAAAUCCCUACAAUAAAGGUGUCGUGUUGUAGAAAGAAGUCUUCUCAACGGAGGGUGGAGAGGCUGGAGCACCCCUUGGAGGAGCUGGAACAGGCUGUGUGUUGCUGUGAUGCUGAAAGCUGUGCCACCGGGAUCUCAAAUGGCAGCAGGGUCGCCCAUGGUGGACAGGUUUCAGAGGACUUUCCAGACUAAGACAGACAAGGAAGAAGGACCUGGCCACCCACUUCCGAAAAAACUGGCCAUGAAGACCCUGUGAAUAACAGUGGAGCUUGUCUGCUACAGAGCCGGAAGUUAUGUGCUCGAGACUCAGAUAGGAUCUGAUUCAUCAGAGGAUACCGGACCUCUCACCCAGGACCCCAAGUGUGCACCGUUGAAGCCCUUGUCUUCACCUCCGACUGCCUGAUCGGGGAUCUGUUGCUGUAGGCCAGAAUCCUUCAUGGUGGUAUUGCUUAAACAACUUCGAGCCCAGACCACUCGACUGAGUAAGGAUUUCCAGAAUUAAUGGAGAAGCUGAUGGGUUCAUAAAACUGCUAACCCAAGGUCAAGCAGAACAAGAAUUAAUUAAAUGGGACUGAAUGAACUGAUGAAGAGUGAUUAUGGUUUUAAUCUGGAACAUUCCUGGUUCUUUAAUGUUCUAUUUUUCAGAUAUAAGGAACC